GAUUAAACCGACUAGCGACACUUUCGAGAUGCCACCUUGAAAUAAAAAAAAUUCUUUUCAAUUCCAUUUGACUCGGGGCGUCAGGGACCCUCCAACAGAAACCUCGUCUUUUUUGUCGUCGAUAAGUUCUCCCUCAGUGCCCUACUAUUCAUAAGAAAUACUGAUUGUUGAGAGACUGAUUUAUGAAAGCCCGGUGAGGNAAAAUUGACCGAUGGAAGAAAUGAUAUCUAUUUAAUCACAAUCUUUCAUGAUAUAACUUACUUUUUUAAUAGUGACAAAUUCAAAAAUAUGUGUUUGAAGGUUUUCUAAAGAUAAUUAUACAACAAAUUAAAGCACUCUUCAUUAAGAUUUUUUUGAUUCACAUGUCUCAAACUUUAAAUCAAUCGAUGGAAGAAAUGAUAUCUAUUUAAUCACAAUCUUUCAUGGUAUAACUUACUUGUUUACUAGUGAUAAAUUCAGAUAUGUGUGUUUGAAGGUUUUCUAAAGCCUACAAAUUCUACAUACGUGUGCGAAAAAGUAUAGAGUUAAAUAUAUAUUUUGAUUCGAUCUAGAAUUCGUAAUGUUUGUUGGUUAUAAAUUAAGAUUUUUUUCCAUCACAUGUCUCAAACUCGCGAUCGAUGGAAGAAAUGAUAUCCAUUUAAUCACAAUCUUUCAUGGUAUAACUUGCUCUUUUACUAGUGACAAAUUCAAAUAUACUUAUUUGAAGGUUUUCUAAAGCCUAAAAAUUCUAUAUAAACGUGCAAAAAAAAUAUAAAUAGAGUUAAAUGUAUAUGUUUUAAUUUGAUCCAGAAUUUGUAAUGUUUGUUGGUUACAAAUCAAGAUUUUUUCUCAUUCACAAGUUUGAAACUCGAAAUCGAUCGAUGAAAGAAAUGAUAUCCAUCUAAUCACAAUCUUUCAUGAUACUACAUUUUUUACUAGUGACAAAUUCAGAUACAGGUUUUUAAAAUCUAAUAUUGAAGGUUCAAGUUCUAUAUAAAAGUGCGAAAAAAAAAGAAGUAUAUAUAGAGUUAAAUAUACAUUUUAAUUCGAUCCAGACUUCAUUUUUUUUUGUUGGCUAGAAAUAAAGCAUUAGAGAUAUAUAGGUUUAUCAUUUAUUAAAAACAAAAUGAAUUUCACUCAAUUACAUUACCUUUAGUGAUUAAACCGACUAGCGACACUUUCGAGAUGCCACCUUGAAAUAAAAAAAAUUCUUUUCAAUUCCAUUUGACUCGGGGCGUCAGGGACCCUCCAACAGAAACCUCGUCUUUUUUGUCGUCGAUAAGUUCUCCCUCAGUGCCCUACUAUUCAUAAGAAAUACUGAUUGUUGAGAGACUGAUUUAUGAAAGCCCGGUGAGGUCUCAACCGACA
rnacentral:lncRNA from 1 species